UGUCCGGCGGCUCGGCAACAGAGCUGCCGCGGGGGGAACGCGGACCUCUCUUUCCCGAGCCGAGGGUGGGCUGGGGCCGCCACCAGGCAAGUUCGCCCCAGGAGCGGGCGCCGCGGGCCGAGAUGCUCCUCCGGGACUUGGUGCUGCGCCGUGGCUGCUGCUGGUCCUCGCUGCUGCUGCACUGCGCGCUACACCCGCUCUGGGGCUUCGUGCAGGUGACACACGGUGAGCCCCAGAAGUCCUGCUCCAAGGUGACUGACAGCUGCCGACACGUCUGCCAGUGCCGGCCCCCUCCCCCGCUGCCCCCACCGCCCCCGCCCCCACCGCCUCCCAGACUCCUCUCCGCCCCAGCUCCCAACUCUACCUCUUGCCCCGCUGAGGAAAGCUGGUGGUCAGGGCUGGUGGUCAUCAUUGCCGUAUGCUGUGCCUCCCUGGUGUUUCUGACUGUGCUUGUCAUCAUUUGCUACAAAGCCAUAAAAAGGAACCAUGCCAUUUAGGGAGCCCUCUGUGGCCAUCUCUACCUGGACCAGGGUGAAAAUGCCUCUUCUUGGUUUAGCGAGACCAGCCUCAGCUGACUCCCAGAGGUGCAGAGCCAGGCUGGGUUCUAGCAGCUCUCUAGCAUUUCUGGAUCCCCACAGGGAACGCGUUAGGAAACCACUGAGAAAAGACGAAAAUGGCACCAGCAUUGCUGAGUAUCCCAUGAGCUCUUCCCAGAGCAACAAAGGGGUGGACGUGAACAACACAGUGGUGUGAGUCUGCAGGUCCUGGACCCGCUGGCCAGAGGGACACCUUGGUGGCACUAGUGGACAUGGGAAAGCAGGUGGACAUGAGCUAACCUGAGCUUCUCCAGGACUUCAUUGCCUCACAGGCCCCGAGCCUCCCAAAGGAGAAUCCAUUCUCUUCCUGGGCUUGCCGCCGGUCAGCCUGUGGGCCCAGGCAGCUCGGACACCAGGCCGAGCCUGGCUCACGCUGUGCGCAGCACCUGGGCAGUGUCCCCACCCCAGGCCCUCCACUUCCUCCUCCCUGUCUGGUGUCUGGUCUGUCGACUGUGCCCAGCUGCUGUCUACAGCACGCGCACUGGUGACGCCCAGGGAUCUGUGUUUCUGCUGCGGCAGGGAGGCAUCCCCCUUCAGCCAAAAGAAAGAUGGUCCAGGGCCCACUCCCUGCCGGAAACCUCUCCUCCUCCCAGGAAGCCUGCCUGCUCCUCUGUCCACAUUCUCAACAGAAGCCAUCGGCACAGCCGGGAGACAGGCGUCCCCUUUCAAAGGUGCUUCCCACACAUCUGUUCAUUGCCCCAUCUGCAAUUGUCAAUCUUCAGGGCCUGCCUUCUCCCGCCUGUCCCCACUGACACCCCACACCCUCGGCUCCUGACUGCCUGCCAUGGAGGGCUGUGAGCCCAGACUGCAAAAUCCCCUCCUGAGCAGACAGAGGAGCUAGUUUACACUCGGGGGCAGUGCCUGGCCUUCCGGGGGCAAAACAACUUACUGAACCCUAGGUCCAGGGCCACUGGGUAAGGGCAGAGGCCACUGCACCUGUCCUCACACUCAUCCCCACACUUGACCCCAUAGGAACCCAUGCAUCGAUGUGAGCCAGGCCCUGCCUUAGUCAGCAGAGGCCACUACUUGUGCCAAAUCCACUGUGGGCAUGCUGUGCCACACUGACGCUGGCCAGGCGCUGGAUGUCCCCACAGUCCCCUGAGGCCUGACUGUUGUACUCAGGCUCUCUGCCAGAGUCCUCCAUCCUCUUCCCAUUUUACCCUCCCCCAGCCCCAGUCACCAAGAAGGAGGUGUUGUUCCAAUGUCUUCCUGUCAGUGUCUGUUUCCAGUGCUAUAGGAUCACGGAGCCCUCUGGCAUGGUUGGAGCACCCAGGGAUGAAAUGGGACGGGAGGUGAGGGACCCUCAAGGCUGGUAACCCCUGCUCAGUUGGCCUGUCUCCCAAGCGGCUGCCUUCCCUGUGGGCUCCAUCAGGAAGCCCAUGGAGACAGGGUGAUUUUGCAUCUUCUGGCAAAUGAGUGGGACACUCCUGGCCCUGUGGUUCUCCCCACCGCCCCUGCAUAUGUGCUCAGAAGGAACCCAGCGCAUUGAAUGUUUCCACUGUCAGGCCCUGUAGGACCUGGUCUGCAUCCUGAACUGCCAGUGUACUCUGGUAGGUAUUUAAGCUACAGAUGAGACUUUGAAGUCCAGGGAAGACAGACACAUGUGAAAACCGGCUCUCAUUUGGGCCAAACCUUAAAAUGUCCAUUGUCCCAGAGUCCUAGUGCCCACAGAGCUGUGUGUGUGUCAUCGUCCUGCCUGGGUCAGCAGGUGCAGGCUGAGGACAGGCCCAGGGCAGACCCUCACAUAAAG